ACGGAUAAGAUUAAAGAA
rnacentral:sRNA from 1 species